rnacentral:rRNA from 1 species
UACGAAGGGUCCAAGCGUUGUUCGGAUUUAUUGGGCGUAAAGCGCGCGCAGGCGGAUCGGAAAGUCAGAUGUGAAAUCUCGGGGCUCAACCCCGAAACUGCGUCUGAAACUUCCAGUCUAGAAUAUCGGAGGGGGUAGGGGAAUUUCACGUGUAGGGGUAAAAUCCGUAGAGAUGUGAAGGAACACCGGAGGCGAAGGCGCCUACCUGGACGAUUAUUGACGCUGAGGCGCGAAAGCGUGGGGAGCAAACAGG